rnacentral:lncRNA from 1 species
CCUUGUGUUCCAUAUCGUAUUUGCCAUCCUCAAUGUCUUCCAGGGAUUAUUCAGUUUACUCUUUGGAUGCCUCUAGGAUCUGAAGGUACAGGAAGCUUUGCUGAAUAAGUUUUCAUUGUCGAGAUGGUCUUCACCACACUCAAAGUCAACAUCCCUGGGUUCAUCCACACCUGUGUUUUCUAUGAGUUCUCCAAUAUCAAGGAGAUUUAACAGUUUGUUUGGUAAAACAGGAACAUAUAAUGUUUCCACCCCAGAAGCAACCAGCUUAUCCCUGGAAAACUCAUCCAGUGCUUAUUCGUUGCUCAACUAAGAACAGGAUAAUCCAACAUACGUGACCUCCUGGGGACAGUGGAUGGAUGUGCUUUUAAAAAGAGAUCCUUGCAAAGCAAUGGAGAAUGUGUUCUUGGGGCAGGUUUCCAGGAGCAGAUGUCAAAAAGACUUUCAUAGAGAAGAGGCUUUCUUUUGUAAAGACAGACUGAAAAUAAUUGUUAUGUUUAUGUUUGUUCCCUCCCCCUCCCCCUUGUGUGAUACCACAUGUGUAUAGUAUUUAAGUGAAACUCAAGCCCUCGAAGGCCCAACUUCUCUGUCUAUGUAAUAUAGAAUUUCAAAGAGACAUUUUCACUUCCUACAAAUUGGGCACAAAGAUAAGCUUUGAUUAAAGUAGUAAGUAAAAGACAACCUAGGAAAUACUUCAGUGAAUUCUAAGAAGGAAGGAAGGAAGAAAGGAAGGAAAGAAGGGAGGGAAACAGGAAGAAAGGGAAAAAGAAGAAAAAGAGAAAGAUGAAAAUAGGAACAAAUAUAGACAAACAACAUUAAGGGCCACGUUUUAAGAUUUCCAUGUUAAUGAUCUAAUAUAAUCACUCAGAUAGUGCAACAUUGAGAAUUUUUUUUUAAUGGCUCAAAAAUGGAAACUGAAAGUAAGUCAUGGGGAAUGAAUACUUUGGGCAGUGUCUUCCUGAUGUCUUCUUAGCUAAGAGGAGAAAAAAAAGGCUGAAAAAAUAGGGAGGAAAUUCCUUCAUCAGAACGACUUCAAGUGGAUAAUAAUAUUUAUAAGAAAUGAAUGGAAGGAAACAUGAUUCUCCUGAGGCUAACUUUGUAUGUUAAGGUUUGAACUAAGUGAAUGUAUCUGCAGAGGAAGUAUUAUAAAGAUACGUCAUUAGAUCCAAGUGCUGAUUAAAUUUUUAUAGUUUAUCAGAAAAGCCUUGUAUUUUAGUUCGUUCCAUAUUUUGAAAGCAAAAAAUAUAUAUUUUAUAUACCUUUCAAUUGCCAAAUUUGAUAUAUCGCACUGAAGACAGACCCUGUCAUAUAUUUAAUGGCUUCAAGCAGGUACUUCUCUGUGCAUUAUAGAAUAGAUUUUAAUAAUCUUAUAGCAUUGUACAUUAUUAUUGCUGUUGUCACUGUUAUUGUUACUGUGGAUAAUGGCCCUUGGUGUGUUGCAUAGCUCCCUAGGUAUUCUCUGUUUCCAUCUUUACUUUCCCAGACCAAUAUACAUUAAGAAUUUUGCAUGGUCUAACUUGUGUUUAUUCCAACCACUUGGAAAGCUCCUGAAAAGAAAUUUUACAUUUGGCUGUUCUGUGCUCCUAAUGACACUUGACCUUGUUGAACAGAUGGCAGAGACUUUCCCAAGGAUUUGAUUGUUUGUGAAUUAUCUGCAUGUGUGCUUUUUUUCGUGUGUAUGUAUUUCAUUAAAAAAUAUAAAUACUUAUGAAAAUUGCAUCCAUAUUAGAGUUAACCAUGUGCUAUGGAUACAGCAACCCUACA